rnacentral:rRNA from 1 species
UGUGCCAGCAGCCGCGGUAAUACGUAGGGUGCGAGCGUUGUCCGGAAUUACUGGGCGUAAAGGGCUCGUAGGUGGUUUGUCGCGUCGUCUGUGAAAUUCCGGGGCUUAACUCUGGGCAUGCAGGCGAUACGGGCAUAACUUGAGUACUGUAGGGGUAACUGGAAUUCCUGGUGUAGCGGUGAAAUGCGCAGAUAUCAGGAGGAACACCGAUGGCGAAGGCAGGUUACUGGGCAGUUACUGACGCUGAGGAGCGGAAGCAUGGGUAGCGAACAGG